GUCUCAGCUUGCCCGUGGCAAAUACACUGGCUCUAUUUAUGUCUGCGUAAAAGCUUCUAAGACAUCUUUUGAAAAGACAUGUAAUUUUUGAUAUUUUAAACUUUGAUUUUGUAGACGGAAGAAUGGAUUGAUAAUUGAAAACUAUCUUUUCUGAACUACUAAAGAGGUAAAGGGACACUACCGGCAACCAGAUCACUUCAU